UACGGAGGGUGCGAGCGUUGUCCGGAAUCACUGGGCGUAAAGGGCGCGUAGGCGGCUCGGUAAGCGUGUGGUGAAAGCCUGGGGCUCAACCCCGGGUCGGCCAUGCGAACUGUCGAGCUGGAGCACUGUAGAGGCAGGCGGAAUUCCGGGUGUAGCGGUGGAAUGCGUAGAGAUCCGGAAGAACACCGGUGGCGAAGGCGGCCUGCUGGGCAGUAGCUGACGCUGAGGCGCGACAGCGUGGGGAGCGAACCGG
rnacentral:rRNA from 1 species